AAAACAUCGCCUCUUGAGGAAUAUAAGAGGUCCAGCCUGCCCAGUGACCUAGUUCAACGGCCGCGGUAUCCUAACCGUGCGAAGGUAGCGUAAUCACUUGUUCUUUAAAUAAGGACUAGUAUGAAUGGCACCACGAGGGUUUAACUGUCUCCUUUUUCUAAUCAGUGAAACUAAUCUCCCCGUGAAGAAGCUGGGAUUUUUUUAUAAGACGAGAAGACCCUAUGGAGCUUUAAACUAUUUUACACCUGCUGCCCACAAACCAACUUCCAGAAAUUAACCCUAAAGCAUAGCACUUUGAUUAAUAGUUUUUGAUUGGGGUGAUCGCGGAGUAAAAAAUAACCUCCACGACGAAAGGAUCCUUCCUGAGCCACAAGCCACAACUUUAAGCACUAAUAUUAUUAACGGCUAUUGACCCAAUAAUUUUGAUCAACGAACCAAGUUACCCUAGGGAUAACAGCGCAAUCCACUUCAAGAGCUCCUAUCGACAAGUGGGUUUACGACCUCGAUGUUGGAUCAGGGUAUCCUAGUGGUGCAGCCGCUACUAACGGUUCGUUUGUUCAACGAUUAAAACCCUACGUGAUCU
rnacentral:rRNA from 1 species